rnacentral:rRNA from 1 species
UACGAAGGGGGCUAGCGUUGCUCGGAAUUACUGGGCGUAAAGGGUGCGUAGGCGGUUUGUUAAGUCGGAUGUGAAAUCCCUCGGCUCAACUGAGGAAGUGCAUCCGAAACUGGCAGGCUUGAGUACUAAAGAGGGUCGCGGAAUUCCCGGUGUAGAGGUGAAAUUCGUAGAUAUCGGGAGGAACACCGGUGGCGAAGGCGGCGACCUGGGUAGAUACUGACGCUGAGGUGCGAAAGCGUGGGGAGCAAACAGG